rnacentral:sRNA from 1 species
CAUUCUGCGCACGCUCUACCACGAGCACAUCAUCAAGUACAAGGGCUGCUGCGAGGACCAAGGCGAGAAGUCGCUGCAGCUGGUCAUGGAGUACGUGCCCCUGGGCAGCCUCCGAGACUACCUGCCCCGGCACAGCGUCGGGCUGGCCCAGCUGCUGCUCUUCGCCCAGCAGAUCUGCGAGGGCAUGGCCUAUCUGCACGCUCAGCACUACAUCCACCGAGACCUAGCCGCGCGCAACGUGCUGCUGGACAACGACAGGCUGGUCAAGAUCGGGGACUUUGGCCUAGCCAAGGCCGUGCCCGAAGGCCACGAGUACUACCGCGUGCGCGAGGAUGGGGACAGCCCCGUGUUCUGGUAUGCCCCAGAGUGCCUGAAGGAGUAUAAGUUCUACUAUGCGUCAGAUGUCUGGUCCUUCGGGGUGACCCUGUAUGAGCUGCUGACGCACUGUGACUCCAGCCAGAGCCCCCCCACGAUGGAGUUUCACACUUGUAUCCCAGGCUGGAGUGCAAUGGCACAAUCUCGGCUCACUGCAACCU